AAACCAACACGAAAAAUGACCAUAGGGGAUGAUAAAAAAAAAAAAAUUAAGUUAGGACACGUCUGGAUUGGGCCUCAAAUUUUAAAGGCGUCAAAUUUAGAGGCCUAUAGGGCAAAAAAAAAAAAAAAAAAAAAAAAAAAAAGGGGUUAGGGCAAGUUUCAGACGACACAAUCUGCUUCGACACUCCGCAGGGCUGUCGCCUCAGGUGAUUAGGACACUCUUCUUAGGAUCUCGUGAGGUUAUUUGCCUUGAACUUGAAUCAAAUCAUUGCAUAUUGAGGGGUUCUGGAUAUAUGAUGGAGGCUCAAUCUUGUGAGAAUGCUACUCCUGGCACCCGGGUUAAAGCUACAUUUUUCCUUGCAUCAGAAGCAUAACCUGUUCAUGCAAACAAAGGAAUUCUUUCUGAGCAAUUGGUUUCACUGAAGGAAGAGAGCAUGAGCGUACUGAAGGACUUCAUUACCAAACAUAAUGUUCCAAAUGAUGUCCCCGAUGAACCAGAGGAAAUCUCUUCAGAAGAUGGUGGCGAAAUCCUUGAAAAAGUUCAUGUGAA